AAAGCCCAACAAAUCACAAAUGGGCUUUUUAGUAAUGGGCUUGGGCUUUUUAUCCAUUGGAUCUGCUGGAAUAAGGCCUUGUAGUAUCCCAUUUGGUGUAGACCAAUUUGACUCAACAACAGAUGAAGGAAGAAAAGGGAUUGCUAGUUUCUUCAACUGGUAUUACACUUCUUUUACAUUGGUUUUGAUAAUCGCAGUCACACUUGUUGUGUAUAUACAAGAUUCAGUGAGCUGGGUGCUCGGAUUCGGUAUCCCUACGAUACUCAUUUUCUUGUCUAUCGUUUUAUUUUUCAUCGGGACUAAAGUCUACGUUCAUGUCAAGCCUCAAGGAAGUGUAUUCUCGAGCUUCAUUCAAGUUUUUGUAGCGUCUUAUAAGAAACGCAACCUAAAGCUCCCUGAUGAACGUGAGAGUAACGUGACGGUCUUUUAUGAUCCUCUGUUACCUCAAGGGUCUAUUGUGAACAAACUCCCUUUAACCCAUAAGCACAGGUGGUUGAAUAAAGCAGCGAUAGUGAUGAAGGAUGAAGUGAACAGAGACGGCGAUUGUACAAACAAAUGGAGAUUAUGCAGUAUCCAGCAAAUCGAAGAAGUGAAAUGUGUACUCAAAAUAAUCCCAAUUUGGUCUGCAGGGGUUAUCUGUUUCACAGCAAUGGCACAACAGGGCACAUUCACAAUCUCACAAGCUCUAAAAAUGGAUCGUCAUCUCGGCCCUAAUUUCCAGAUCCCACCAGGUUCCCUCUCUGUAAUAUCGAUGAUCACAGUUGGGAUAUGGUUACCAGUCUACGAUAGACUCAUCGUGCCAUCGCUUACAAAAGUAACACGAAUAGAAGGUGGGAUCACAUUGCUACAUAGAAUUGGAAUUGGAAUCGCAUUUUCGAUUCUGUCAAUGGUCGUAGCUGGGAUAACUGAAAAAAUGAGAAGAAAUUCCGCCAUAACUCACAAUAGCCCUGAUGGGAUCGCACCAGUUACAGUAAUGAGGUUAGCUCCACAACUAGUGUUAAUGGGAUUCGCGGAGGCGUUCAACAUACUUGGACAGAUUGAAUUUUACAAUAAGGAAUUCCCCGAAAACAUGAGCAGUGUGGCUAAUUCUCUGUUUUCAUGUACUGUUGCUGGUGCAAGUUACCUAAGCAGUUUGCUAGUGAACGUUUUGCAUAACACUACGGGAGGAAAUGGGCAUCUAGAUUGGUUAACGAAUGAUAUUAAUAAGGGUCGAAUAGACUAUUACUACUAUCUUAUCGCGGGGUUAGGUGUGUUGAACUUGUUCUAUUUUCUAUACGUUGCUAGUCGAUAUGAGUAUAAGACUAGAGUAGUGAUCGAUGAUGAUCGAAUUAAGGGUUAUGGUGAUGAUCAUGAACUUCAUGACAUGAAGUAUUAAGGG
rnacentral:misc_RNA from 1 species